UACGAAGGGGGCUAGCGUUGCUCGGAUUGACUGGGCGUAAAGGGCGCGUAGGCGGCCUGCUAAGUCGAACGUGAAAUCCCCGGGCUCAACCCGGGAACUGCGUCCGAUACUGGCAGGCUUGAAUUCGGGAGAGGGAUGCGGAAUUCCAGGUGUAGCGGUGAAAUGCGUAGAUAUCUGGAGGAACACCGGUGGCGAAGGCGGCAUCCUGGACCGAAAUUGACGCUGAGGCGCGAAAGCCAGGGGAGCAAACGGG
rnacentral:rRNA from 1 species